ACGCUUAUAGUGUAAUUGGUAGCACUUAAGUCUCCAAAACUUAAGGUUAAGGUUCGAGUCCUUAUAAGCGUG
rnacentral:tRNA from 1 species